CUGAGCGAGGAGCGCAGCCAGUGUGCCGCCCCCCACCCACUCCCUCUACCUCCCCACGGCUGGCUCACCUGGCGGAUCAGGGAGGCGUAGGUGAAGGGCGGCCGGACGUCGGCGUUCUUGUAGAACUCAUGGUUCUGGGCCAGCUCUGGGGGGAGACAGGGAGAGCCUGAGGAGAAUCCAGCUGUGUUCACAGACCUCUAGAGCAUAAGAUGACCCUUCCAGGAGCCUCCCGCACCCUGCCCCCACAGCCUGGGGCCACACCUGGAUCUCCAGCUGCUGCACCACCUGCAUCUGCACACGGCACUGGGCCGUGCUCCGGUCGUCCAGGGCGUGCUCCGUGUUGAGAUACAGAGAAUCCAGGAGUCUGAUGGGACUUUUAACAGAUCAGCAUCGACAGGUCACCAGACAGGGGAACAGACACAUCGCUGCUGCCCAGGUGCCUGCCGCCUGCCUGCACUUGCUCGUUCUGCUCUUGCUGGCUCUCUCUCCCCUGCCCUGGCCCUUGAUCUCCCUACCCGCCCCCCACCCCCUACCUCCCUAGAUUCAGUACUUCACACAAGCAUUGGCGAGUCAGUCUGUCAGUAAGUCUGUUCUAAAGCCCCAGGAGCCAAGCAAGUCCUGGGUGCUUAGGAGGCAGGGAUUAGGAGACAGGGAUGGCUUGGAGGUGGGAGAUUGAGGAGAGUGGCUUCUCAGUAAACCCACCCUAGAGACAAUGCAGAGAAUGUAACAAACACAACACCUCCGCCAGGGAGGCUGAGGCUAGGAGGGAAUGA